rnacentral:rRNA from 1 species
CCUACGGGGCGCAGCAGUAGGGAAUCUUUCACAAUGGGCGAAAGCCUGAUGGAGCAACGCCGCGUGCAGGAUGAAGGCCUUCGGGGUGUAAACUGCUUUUAUAAGCGAGAAAGAUGAUGGUAACUUAUGAAUAAGGAUCGGCUAACUACGUGCCAGCAGCCGCGGUCAUACGUAGGAUCCGAGCAUUAUCCGGAGUGACUGGGUGUAAAGAGUUGCGUAGGUGGCAUAAUAAGGGGCUAGUGAAAUCUGGUGGCUCAACCAUUCAGACUAUUAGCUAAACUGUUAAGCUCGAGACCGUUAGGGGUAACUGGAAUUUCUAGUGUAGGGGUGAAAUCCGUAGAUAUUAGGAGGAACACCAAUGGCGUAGGCAGGUUGCUGGGACGGUUCUGACACUGAGGCACGAAAGCGUCGGGAGCAAACAGGAUUAGAUACCCCAGUAGUC